GCCGACGUAGCUCAGUUGGCCAGAGCACCGCUCUCGUAAAGCGGGGGUCAUGGGUUCGAAUCCCAUCGUCGGCU
rnacentral:tRNA from 1 species